rnacentral:rRNA from 1 species
GAGGCAGCAGUAGGGAAUAUUGGACAAUGGGUGCAAGCCUGAUCCAGCCAUGCCGCGUGCAGGAAGAAGGCCUUCUGGGUUGUAAACUGCUUUUACCAGGGGAUAAAAAGCCCAUGCGUGGGAAAUUGAAGGUACCUGGUGAAUAAGCCACGGCUAACUACGUGCCAGCAGCCGCGGUAAUACGUAGGUGGCAAGCGUUGUCCGGAUUUAUUGGGUUUAAAGGGUGCGUAGGCGGUCUUUUAAGUCAGUGCUGAAAUAUCCCGGCUUAACCGGGAGGGUGGCAUUGAUACUGAAGGACUUGAGUUCAGUCGAGGUAGGCGGAAUUGACGGUGUAGCGGUGAAAUGCUUAGAUAUCGUCAAGAACACCGAUAGUGUAGACAGCUUACUAGGCUGAAACUGACGCUGAGGCACGAAAGUGUGGGGAUCAAACAGGAUUAGAUACCCUGGUAGUCCACACUGUAAACGUUGAUGACUCGAUGUUAGCGAUACACAGUUAGCGUCUUAGAGAAAUCGUUAAGUCAUCCACCUGGGGAGUACGCCGGCAACGGUGAAACUCAAAGGAAUUG